rnacentral:rRNA from 1 species
GAUGAACGCUGGCGGCGUGCCUAAUACAUGCAAGUCGAGCGAACAGGUGAGGAGCUUGUUCCUCUUACGUUAGCGGCGGACGGGUGAGUAACACGUGGAUAACCUACCUAUAAGACUGGGAUAACUUCGGGAAACCGGAGCUAAUACCGGAUAAUAUAUUUAACCGCAAGUUUUAAUAUUGAAAGACGCUAUUGCUGUAAUCUAUAGUUGGAUCCGCGUCGCUUUAGCUGUUUGGUAAGGUAACGGCUUACCAAGCCAACGAUCCGAAGCCGACCUGAGAGGGGGAUGGGCCCAACUGGAACUGGGACACGGUCCAGAUUCCUACGGGAGGCAGAAGUAGGGAAUCUUCCGCAAUGGGCGAAGUCCUGACGGGGCAACGCCGCGUGAGUGAUGAAGGUCUUCGGAUCGUAAAACUCUGUUAUUAGGGAAGAACAAGUGGGUAAGUAACAAUGCACGUAUUGACGGUACCUAAUCAGAAAGCCACGGCUAACUACGUG